rnacentral:lncRNA from 1 species
GCGCCCAUUGCCGCUCCAGUUCAGGCUAGAGGCUCGCCAUUGUUCCUGCAUGGCUAAGUGCCCGGGUUUGUCCUAAUCUAACUGAACACUAGUCGCUGGGUUCCGUGGUUCUCUUCCUUGACCCACGUUUUCUAAUAGAACAAUAACACUCACUGCAUGACCCAAGGUUCCAUUCCAUGGAAUCCAUGAGGCCAAGAACCCCAGGUCAGAGAACAAAAGGCUUGCCGCCAUCUUGGGAGCGGCUCACCACCAUCUUGAGAGCACUAAGAACAAAGACCUGCCUGUAACAAUGGGACCUCUAGCUCUGCAACUGAGCUCUCACCUAGACUCUUCCAAUCAAGGCAGGGAAUCCUCAAACCACAGUGAUGAUACAGGGAUGGGCACAUGCUCCAAACUUCUCAUGCCCAAGAAGGUCCACUGACAGACACUGGGAAGAUACCUUCUUCAUGUUUCGAGACAAGGUGGCCACAUGUGACCUCAGAGAUGGCAUUUUCAAUAGUGGAAUGUGAGGUACUGUGCUGGGGUAAAGAUGGAAUGACUUACCUGCUAU